UACGUAGGGACCAAGCGUUGUUCGGAAUUACUGGGCGUAAAGGGCGCGUAGGCGGCCUUCUAAGUCGAACGUGAAAUCCCCGGGCUCAACCCGGGAACUGCGUCCGAUACUGGAAGGCUUGAAUCCGGGAGAGGGAUGCGGAAUUCCCGGUGUAGCGGUGAAAUGCGUAGAUAUCGGGAGGAACAUCGAUGGCGAAGGCAAUCACCUGGGCCUGAACUGAACACUCGAGACACGAAAGCGUGGG
rnacentral:rRNA from 1 species